AUAUUGGUCAAUGGAGGCAACUCUGAACCAGCCAUGCCGCGUGCAGGAAGACAGCCCUAUGGGUCGUAAACUGCUUUUAUACGGGAAUAAACCUGUCUACGUGUAGACAGCUGAAUGUACCGUAAGAAUAAGGAUCGGCUAACUCCGUGCCAGCAGCCGCGGUAAUACGGAGGAUCCAAGCGUUAUCCGGAUUUAUUGGGUUUAAAGGGAGCGUAGGCGGUCUGUUAAGUCAGGGGUGAAAGACGGUGGCUCAACCAUCGCAGUGCCUUUGAUACUGACGGACUUGAAUAUAGUUGAGGUAGGCGGAAUGUGACAAGUAGCGGUGAAAUGCAUAGAUAUGUCACAGAACACCAAUUGCGAAGGCAGCUUACUAAGCUAUAAUUGACGCUGAGGCUCGAAAGCGUGGGGAUCAAACAGG
rnacentral:rRNA from 1 species